rnacentral:sRNA from 1 species
GUUCCUUUCAGUUCAAAGUCAAAAUAAACAGCCAUUCAGGCACAUAACUUGCCAAGCACUUGAAGCCUUAGAAAUUUGCAGUAUUUUCCCCAGAAACUCACUCACUCACUUCCCUGUUCCACUGAAAUAAGCGAAAUGCCACUUUCAUCUGACGCAGGAUACGAAGGAUACUUUAAGCGAAUCUCCCUCCAAAAUACACACACUUGGCUGACUUGGAAUUUCUGUUAAUCAAACUCAGCGCUGAGCAUGAAAAUGCUUAAUUGUAUUAUUACAUAACUUUUAUCCAACCAAAUGGAGCGGCAAGCAUAUUCCGCAUUUUACCCAAGACACAAGUCGUUGGCAAUUAAGCCCUGUGUUCGCCAAAUACAAAUCGAUGCGGUCUCAAAGGAUAAUUAAUGCGUCACCAGCAUAUAGAAAUCUGAAAAUGACAGCAGCCAGUCGAAUUUCAUAUGCUUUAUAUGCUGCUAUAACUUAAGUGCUCGAUCAAUAGCAUACAUAAUGACAUCCAUGGUAAAUGCUUAACCACAAUGAAACCAACAAAAUGCCAAAAUUUAUAAAUGACAACGCACAUUAAACGCAAAUGUAAAUACAUAGAUUUGUCACAUCCCA